ACCUACGGGACGCAGCAGUGGGGAAUAUUGCACAAUGGGGGAAACCCUGAUGCAGCAACGCCGCGUGAGUGAUGACGGCCUUCGGGUUGUAAAGCUCUGUCUUCAGGGACGAUAAUGACGGUACCUGAGGAGGAAGCCACGGCUAACUACGUGCCAGCAGCCGCGGUAAUACGUAGGUGGCGAGCGUUGUCCGGAUUUACUGGGUGUAAAGGGAGCGCAGGCGGCACGGCAAGCCUGAUGUGAAAGCCCGCGGCCCAACCGCGGGACUGCAUUGGGAACUCCCGGGCUGGAGUGC
rnacentral:rRNA from 1 species